rnacentral:rRNA from 1 species
GAUGAACGCUGGCGGCGUGCUUAACACAUGCAAGUCGAACGAUGAAGCUGGAGCUUGCUCUGGUGGAUUAGUGGCGAACGGGUGAGUAACACGUGAGCAACCUGCCCCUGACUCUGGGAUAACAGCCGGAAACGGCUGCUAAUACCGGAUAUGCACCAUGAACGCAUGUUCUGUGGUGGGAAAGAUUUUUCGGUUGGGGAUGGGCUCGCGGCCUAUCAGCUUGUUGGUGAGGUAAUGGCUCACCAAGGCGUCGACGGGUAGCCGGCCUGAGAGGGUGACCGGCCAAACGGGGAGUGGGAAAGGGCCCAGACCCCUAGGGGGGGAAGGAGGGGGAAAAAUUGAAAAAUGGGGAAAAGCUGGGGGAAGCAACGCCGGGGGGGGGAUGACGGCUUUGGGGUUGAAAACCUUUUUUAGAAGGAAAGAAGGGGGAGUGAGGGAAACGGCAAAAAAAGCCCGGGCAAAAUAGGU